rnacentral:sRNA from 1 species
GAGAACGAAUGGCAUGUUUGUUAGCAACUCAUCCGAACACGUUUGAAGGCUAUAACUUGGCUACAACUACGAGUAACGUAUUGAAAGGGGUAGCAAUUAGCCAAUGACAGAACAAAAUACGUUGGCGUGGGUAAAGUAGAGUGAAAGAACAUGAACUAAGAGGCCAAAAGUUCAACGAAAAAACAACUAAAAGCCGGGGUUACGUAACAUAUAAGAGGCAACAACUCUGGAUGAGGUCUAAAAUCUACAGAGAAUAAACUAUGGCGCAGUUCAUUUCCAACUGUAAGCAGCGGCGGCGGCGCGGCAGCAGCGCAUCUCAAACUGUGGCUCGGCGGCUCUCAAACUGUAAGCUUAUUGCGGAUUUAAUUUACUACUAUUUAUUUGCGACUCUCCAAUUCUCAGAUGAAAUGCAGACUACUGACAAUUAAUAACAGCAGGACAAUGACACUAUUACAUAGACAGGGACUGUUCCGAAAUAUUUUCUAGGACGGCACGGAAUGAAAACUGUAUCUAAAUUUGGAUGGGAGUUUCAGGGAAUAAUUGCAUUCACUUUAAUGGAAUUACGGAAUGGAUUGUAAUGGCAAUGGGAAGGGGAAAACAGGUUUUUAUGAAAUUCUUUGUGCCCGGCAAACCAAAAUGCUAUGAAAAGAUAUAGAUGGAUAUAUAGCAAAAAAUUAUAUGCAAUGUGGCGGAUGAGAUCUUGGGAGAACGCAUGAAAUCGACUUAUAGAUGUGCUAGCUGACUCUCCUAUACCCCUCAUUCUAACAUAUUCACCACGGCAAGAAUUGGGACCCAAACUGGGUUGACGUAACUAAAACUCAGAGAUCAUCAUUUAUAGUGGAAGAAUUGCCAACUACUCUGAAAACUAAAAAAAUUAUGGCAAAAUCAUAGAAAAAUGAAAACGAAACUUUUUUUUCGAUUGAAAACGAAUUCUAGCACUACAUGCAGUUUUUGUGGCUUGAAUGGAAUGUGGAUAAGAACGUGAGCCAAAAGCUUCAAAAUAUAUUGGAGUUAUACAUAUUAAAGUACGAAUAAAGUGUGUUUUGUGGAUAUCUCGG